rnacentral:rRNA from 1 species
CUGGAAUCGCUAGUAAUCGCGGAUCAGAAUGCCGCGGUGAAUACGUUCCCGGGUCGUUGUACACACCGCCCGUCACACCAUGGGAGUCGGGAAUGCCCGAAGCCAGUGACCCAAGCGAAAGCAGGGAGCUGUCGAAGGCAGGCCGGAUAACUGGGGUGAAGUCGUAACAAGGUAUC